GUUUAUCAGUUUGCUUUUCUUUCUUUUCUUUGCAUUAUCCGGCAUUAGCAACAACAUCUGGUUCUGUUGUUGGCGACUCUGUGUUGAAGCAUCUUUGGCAUCAUCAGGAUGCCAUAUUGUGCGGUUCAUUGAAGUCGCUUCCAGUUUUCGUCUCUGCAAACCAAGCAGGCCUUGACAUGCUGGAGAUAACUCUAACGGCUCCACAAGAUAUCUCACUGGAUAAAAUUUUUGAUGAGUCUGGCGAAAGUCAUUAUGUGCUGACUUCGCCAAGUUAAUGCAGCAGGGGAUCCCAGCCUCAGGUAAGAUAUAAGUUGAAAGAGGAAUGGCAGAAACACUAUAUGUUUAUGAAGAUGGGUGCUCUUUGGAGAGCUUCAAAGUCUAAGCUGAUGAGCAAAAUUAAGACGGCCAGAGGAAAGAAUGGCCCUCGAACUUGAUAACAUCAAGAUUAUUGGUGAAUGGAAAAAGUUUGUGAAAGAAAAAAUAGGGUCAAAGUUUAAGAUGAUUAUAUCACUACACACAUUUGAUUAGAGAUGGCAAUGAGCUUGAUAUUUCUGAGCAUCCGGCCUGGCCCGUCCCAAAAAGGCCGGGUUUUACCUGGCGUUUGCGGGCUUGAGCUUGGGCUUGGACCUGGGCUUGAUUUAAAGCCCGACCUCGAGUACCAGCUGGGCUUGGGUAUGUUUUCUUACCUGACCCGAAAAUUUUAGUAUUAAUUUUGCUAAAUUACC